rnacentral:rRNA from 1 species
CCCUUAGAUGUUCUGGGCCGCACGCGCGCUACACUGAUGCAUUCAACGAGUCUAAAACCUGCUCUGAUAGGGGUGGGUAAUCUUUUGAAUGUGCAUCGUGAUUGGGAUAGAUGAUUGCAAUUUUUCAUCUUCAACGAGGAAUGCCUAGUAAACGCAAGUCAUCAGCUUGCAUUGAUUACGUCCCUGCCCUUUGUACACACCGCCCGUCGCUCCUACCGAUUGAUUGAUCCGAUGAAUAUCAUGGAUUGAGGAUGCAAGCAGGUUCGCCUGUCUUCAUCUUCGAGAAGUGAAGUAAAUCUUAUCAUUUAGAGGAAGGAGAAGUCGUAACA